AAUGCUAGAAAACCGCGGACAGCUAGCUGUGGUAGCUCACACCUUUAACCCUACACAGAGGCACAGAGAUGCUCGUCAUGGGUGGUUGGCUGCCCUGCAGGACCGAAGCAUCCUUGCCUCCUUGGCUUGGGAUCUGUGUCUUCUGCUACUGUUUGUGGUCCAGCACAGCCUCAUGGCUACUGAGGCAGUGAAGGCGUGGACAUCACGGUACUUUGGCGUCCUUCAGAGGUCGCUCUAUGUGGCAUGCACCGCCCUGGCCUUGCAGUUGGUGAUGCGGUACUGGGAGGCUACACCCAGAGGCCCAGUGUUGUGGGAGGCUCGGGCCGAACCGUGGGCCACCUGGGUGCCUCUCCUCUGCUUUGUCCUCCACGUUGUUUCCUGGCUCCUUAUCUUCAGCAUUCUUCUGGUCUUUGACUACGCUGAACUGAUGGGCCUCAAACAGGUGAGGCUCCCACACCCCCACCUGAGACCUGUGCCUGCAAGUCUCUCCCUCCUGUACUCUUCUGACUUCUCUUGUCCCUUGCCUUCUUGUAUGAUCGUUUUCCUUCAGCCUGCCUUCAAAGGCCAGUGACUGUGGUCACCUGGGCUUGAGGAUGCUGCCCGGACCAGAGAGACCUGUGUUGGGGUGGAGUCUCAGAAGGGAUCCUGGGCCUGAUUUUCUAAGAUGGUGGUGCCAGCCAGGAAGAGGACAGAGGCAACUGAGAAAGGAGGCUUGACUCAUUUCCAUGAUGUGUCUUCUAG
rnacentral:lncRNA from 1 species